UUCCGCGGUUCGUUAAGGGCGCACGGUGGAUGCCUUGGGAGUAUGUGGCGAUGAAGGACGUUGCGUAGCAGCGAUAAGCCUCGGGGAGCCGCGUAGCAGGCUUUGAUCCGGGGAUUUCCGAAUGGGGAAACCCUAUCGCAUAAAAUGCGAUAACCCGUCACGCAAGUGACGGGAGCGUACCCGCUGAAGUAAAACAUUUCAGUAAGCGGAGGAAAGGAAAAAUUGUGGCGUAUAUCUUUCCGACUCCUAGCUUUCAACUGCCGAUCGAGGUGGUUGGGAGCUAGUUGUUGGCAUGGGUAUGCGUUUCAUUCCCUUAGUAGCGGCGAGCGAAGAGGGAACAGUCCAAACUCGUUUCAUAUGGGUUUACUCACAUGAAGCGGGGGUUGUAGGGCAGAAGUAUCUAUUUAAUUAGAGGAAGGUUACAAAAUGGCAUUGUAGAAGAACGCUCCUGGAAAGGGCGGCCAUAGCGGGUAAUAGCCCCGUAUUCGAAACCUUAGCCAUCCUUCUUAUUUCUGUCCCUGAGUAGGGCGGGGAACGACAGCCCCGUCUGAAUCCGGCGUGACUACGCGCCAAGACUAAAUACACAUACUCACCGAUAGUGAACUAGUACCGUGAGGGAAAGGUUAAAAGCAGCCCGGUAAGGGCGGUGAAAUAGUACCUGAAACCGUGCGUUUACAAGGAGUCGGCGACCUAGCGCGUCGUAAGAUGCGCAGGUCCACGGCGUGCCUUUUGCAAAAUGAGCCAACGAGUUUAUCUAUGCUGCAUACCUAAAUCCUUUUGGGAUGGAGGUGCAGGGAAACCGAGUCUUAAUAGGGCGUUUCACUCUUUUCAAAAAGUUGAAUGUCCCGUUUUUUCGGGAUGGGCAGCUUUUUGAAAGAGUGUUGGUAGCAUGGAUAAGACCCGAAGCCGGAGCGAGCUACCCUUGAGCAGGAUGAAGGCCGUCGAAAGACGGCUGGAGGUCCGAACUGGUGAGUCGUGUAAUGCUCUCGGAUGACUUGAGGGUAGAAGUGAAAAGCUAAUCGAGCCCGGUAAUAGCUGGUUCUCUCCGAAAUAGUUUUAGGACUAGCCUUGCGAUUAUUGGCGCGGAGGUAGAGCACUGAAAGGACUUUUUGGGGUUUUACCUCGGAAGUCCUAACAAACUCCGAAUGCCGUGCCAUCAUGUCGCGGGAGUCAGAAUGUGGGGGCUAAGCUCCAUGUUCGCGAGGGGAUAAGCCCAGACCGCAAUCUAAGGCCCCUAAAUGUUCCCGAUUUUUCGGGAUCUGGAGUCCGGCUUCGGCCGGACAAAGGAAUGUUAAGUGCGUCAAAGGAGGUGGGAAUUCUCAAACAACCAGGAGGUUGGCUUAGAGGCAGCCAUCCUUUAAAGAGUGCGUAACAGCUCACUGGUCGAGAGUUUCUGCGCCGAAGAUACACCGGGGCUAAACAUACUGCCGAAGAUGCGGAUGCGCGUGCUUUGCACUGGGAAACGAAUCAGUGACAAAGUGACAGAGUGAUUGGUGUAGACAUUAUUUAAAAUAAUGUUUCUCAAUUCACUUCGUCACUCCGUCACUUCUGCAUUCGACUUCCAGCGCAGAGCGCGUGCGUGGUAGGAGAGCGUCUCCAGGGCUGUGAAGCCGGACCCGCGAGGGCCGGUGGAGCGCUGGGGAGUGAGAAUGUUGGCAUAAGUAACCGCAAGUGGGGUGAGAACCCCCACCGCCGAAAGCCCAAGGUUUCCUUCGCAACGACAAUCGGCGAAGGGUUAGUCGGUCCUAAGGCGAUGCCCAGAGGCGAAGCUGAUGGACACACGGUUAAUAUUCCGUGACCGCUUAUGGUCUACGAUGUGGUGACGGAGCAGCGAAGCACGCGCCAGUUAUUGGAUUCUGGUCUACGCGCAGUAGGCGGACGCUCCAGGAAAAUCCGGAGUGUUUGCGGCCCGCAAGGGCUAAAAACGUCGAAGCGCGCGGCGAAGUUUUCCGCGAGGAAAACAAAGGCGUGGGGAGCCGCUUCCAAGAAAACCCGCUAGGCUGCCAUAAGCGACCGUACCGCAAACUAACACAAGUGGGCUGGUGCUAGAAUACCAAGGCGAACGGGUGAGCGUGGGUUAAGGAACUCGGCAAUACAACGGCCGUAAGUUCGCAAUAAGGCCUUCCCGCCAUUCAUGAGAUUACAUCAAAGUGAAGGGUGGGACGCAGCUACAGACCCCUGGCGACUGUUUAUCAAAAACACAGCUCCGUGCUAACUCCCAAAGAGGAUGUAUACGGGGCGACGCUUGUCCAGUGUCAGAACGUUAACGGUGGGGCUCUAAGUGCCGCAAGGUGUUUAGGGUGACCGCCCGAAGCGCUGAUGAACGACGGCGAUAACUAUAAUCGUCCUAAGGUUUCCGGAUGCAUCGCAAGAUGGACCCGGAAAGGACUGGGACGAUUAUGGUCUGAUAAAUUGUUUCCAUAGUAAUUAUGAGUUCCAAAUGCGUAUAGAUUAAGGAAAAGUAACUGCCUGCUUCCGUUUUACGGAAGCGUCAGAAUCUGACUAUAUGCUGGAAAAUCUGGUGAAUCGAGCGCUACUCGCGUGCUUUUAGCAUGCAGUAAAAAUGCGCCUCGUGCAGAUGAUCAGCAGGAAAGGCCUCUGAUGCGCUUUUUGUGCAUCGCAGGAAUCCUCAGAAACCAAACGUCAGCUUCGUCCUUCAUUGAAGGUUUCAAUGCAAUGGCGGGGAAGAUAGAGUUCGGCCUGCAUGGCGACAUGCAGAUAACAUAUCUAGCGAAAUUCCUUGUCGGGUAAGUUCCGACGCGCAUCAAUAGCGGAACGACUGGGGGACUGUCUCAACCCAUCGCCCGGUGAACUUGCAGUAUGAGCGAAGAUGCUCGUUUCCUGUGGCAAGACGAAAAGACCCCAGAAGCUUUACUGCAGCUUCUCAUUGUGCUUGCGGUUUUCAUGCGUAGCGUAGUGGGGAGGCUUUGAAGGCGUGCUUUCGGGCACGCUGGAGCCGUCAAUGCAACACCCAUCUUGAAAAUUGCACGUACUAACCCUGACGGCAAAAACGGCAGGGGACCGUGGGUGGUGGGCAGUUUAAGUGGGGCGCUUGCCUCCAAAAGCGUAACGGAGGCGUUCAUUAAGGUCGGCUAGCUCCGGAUGGACAUCGGAGUGGUCCUGUAAUGGGAAAUGCCGGCUUUACUGCAAGGCAUACACGCCGCGCAGUCGCGAAAGCGGGACAUAGUGAACCGACCGUCCUUCGUAGGAAGGCGGAAGAUCAUCGGAUAAAAGCUACUCUGGGGAUAACAGGCUAGUUUGGUCCAAGAGUCCAUAUCGACGACCAAGUUCGGCACCUCGAUGUCGGCCCAUCUUAUCCUGGGGCUGGAGAAGGUCCCAAGGGUUUGGCUGUUCGCCAAUUAAAAAGGUACGCGAGUUGGGUUCAAACCGUCGUGAGACAGGUUGGUCUCUAUCUGCCACAGGCGUGGAUGCUUGAGAGGAGUCGUCCCUAGUACGAGAGGACCGGGAUGAACGAACCUCUGGUGUACCGGUUGUUCCGCCAGGAGCAUCGCCGGGUAGCUAUGUUCGGUCGCGAUAAGCGCUGAAAGCAUCUAAGCGCGAAGCGCACCUCAAGAUUAGGCAUCGAUCCGCCGCAAGGCGGGAGAGGGUCGUGGGAGAUGACCACGUUGAUAGGCCGCAGGUAGAAGCGCAGUAAUGCGUUAAGCCGAGCGGUACUAAUAUCCCGAAACCGCGGGACC
rnacentral:rRNA from 1 species